GAACGCUGGCGGCAUGCUUUACACAUGCAAGUCGAACGGUAACGCGGGGGCAACCCUGGCGACGAGUGGCGAACGGGUGAGUAAUACAUCGGAACAUGUCCUGGAGUGGGGGAUAGCUCGGCGAAAGCCGGAUUAAUACCGCAUACGCUCUGAGGAGGAAAGCGGGGGAUCCGCAAGGACCUCGCGCUGCAGGAGUGGCCGAUGUCGGAUUAGCUAGUUGGUGAGGUAAAGGCUCACCAAGGCGACGAUCCGUAGCUGGUCUGAGAGGAUGAUCAGCCACACUGGGACUGAGACACGGCCCAGACUCCUACGGGAGGCAGCAGUGGGGAAUUUUGGACAAUGGGGGCAACCCUGAUCUAGCCAUGCCGCGUGAGUGAAGAAGGCCUUCGGGUUGUAAAGCUCUUUUGGCAGGGACGAUAAUGACUGUACCUGCAGAAUAAGCCCCGGCCAACUUCGUGCCAGCAGCCGCGGUAAUACGAAGGGGGCUAGCGUUGCUCGGAAUCACUGGGCGUAAAGCGCACGUAGGCGGGUCGUUAAGUCGGGGGUGAAAUCCUGGAGCUCAACUCCAGAACUGCCUUCGAUACUGGCGAUCUUUGAGUCCGGGAGAGGUGGGUGGAACUGCGAGUGUAGAGGUGAAAUUCGUAGAUAUUCGCAAGAACACCAGUGGCGAAGGCGGCUCACUGGCCCGGUACUGACGCUGAGGUGCGAAAGCGUGGGGA
rnacentral:rRNA from 1 species